rnacentral:rRNA from 1 species
CAGUCGCCGCGGGAACACGUAGGGUGCGAGCGUUAAUCGGAAUUACUGGGCGUAAAGCGUGCGCAGGCGGUUUUGUAAGACAGGCGUGAAAUCCCCGGGCUCAACCUGGGAAUGGCGCUUGUGACUGCAAAGCUAGAGUGCGGCAGAGGGGGAUGGAAUUCCGCGUGUAGCAGUGAAAUGCGUAGAUAUGCGGAGGAACACCGAUGGCGAAGGCAAUCCCCUGGGCCUGCACUGACGCUCAUGCACGAAAGCGUGGGGAGCAAACAGGAUUAGAUACCCCCGUAGUCCCUGUCUCUUAUAC